rnacentral:rRNA from 1 species
GUGGGGGAUAUUGCACAAUGGGGGAAACCCUGAUGCAGCGACGCCGCGUGAGUGAAGAAGUAUUUCGGUAUGUAAAGCUCUAUCAGCAGGGAAGAAAAAAGACGGUACCUGACUAAGAAGCCCCGGCUAACUACGUGCCAGCAGCCGCGGUAAUACGUAGGGGGCAAGCGUUAUCCGGAUUUACUGGGUGUAAAGGGAGCGUAGACGGCAAUACAAGUCGGAAGUGAAAUACCCGGGCUCAACUUGGGAACUGCUUUGGAAACUGUAUGGCUGGAGUGCUGGAGAGGUAAGCGGAAUUCCUAGUGUAGCGGUGAAAUGCGUAGAUAUUAGGAGGAACACCAGUGGCGAAGGCGGCUUACUGGACAGUAACUGACGUUGAGGCUCGAAAGCGUGGGGAGCAAACAGGA